rnacentral:rRNA from 1 species
GAUGAACGCUGGCGGCGUGCCUAAUACAUGCCAGUCGAGCGAACAGACGAGGAGCUUGCUCCUCUGACGUUAGCGGCGGACGUGUGAGUAACACGUGGAUAACCUACCUAUAAGACUGGGAUAACUUCGGGAAACCGGAGCUAAUACCGGAUAAUAGAUUCAACCGCAUGGUUCAAUAGUUAAAGACGGUUUUGCUGGCACUUAUAGAUGGCUCCGCGCCGCAUUAGCUAGUUGGUAAGGUAACGGCUUACCAAGGCGACGAUGCGUAGCCGACCUGAGAGGGUGAACGGGCACACUGGGACUGAGACACGGUCCAGACUCCUACGGGAGGCAGCAGUAGGGAAUCUUGCGAGAUGGGCGAAAGCCUGACGGAGCAACGCAGCGUGAGUGAUGAAGGUCUUCGGGCCGUAAAACUCUGUUAUUAGGGAAGAACGAAUGUGGAAGUAACUAUGCACGUCUUGACGGUACCUACUCAGAAAGCACCGGCUAACUACGUG